UUUCCGUAGGUGAACUUGCGGAAGGAUCAUUCGUAAUAAAGUGUUUUAUGGCACUUUUUAAAAAUCCAUAUCCACCUUGUGUGCAAUGUUAGAUCUCGUCAAUCUUGGCGAGAUUUUUAUACAUCAACUCAUUCUUUAACUAAUUUGUCUGAAAAAUAUUAUGAAUACUUAAUUCAAAAUACAACUUUCAACAACGGAUCUCUUGGCUCUC
rnacentral:misc_RNA from 1 species